rnacentral:rRNA from 1 species
UACGGGGGGGAGCAAGCGUUGUUCGGAUUUACUGGGCGUAAAGGGCGCGUAGGCGGUCAGCACAAGUCAGUUGUGAAAUCUCCGGGCUUAACUCGGAAAGGUCAACUGAUACUGUACGACUAGAGUGCAGAAGGGGCAAUUGGAAUUCUCGGUGUAGCGGUGAAAUGCGUAGAUAUCGUGAGGAAGACCAGUGGCGAAGGCGGGUCUCUGGACAGUUCCUGACGCUGAGGCGCGAAGGCCAGGGGAGCAAACGGG